GUGUCAGCAGCCGCGGUAAUACGGAGGGAGCUAGCGUUGUUCGGAAUUACUGGGCGUAAAGCGCGCGUAGGCGGUUUUUCAAGUCAGAGGUGAAAGCCCGGGGCUCAACCCCGGAAUUGCCUUUGAAACUGGAAGACUUGAAUCUUGGAGAGGUCAGUGGAAUUCCGAGUGUAGAGGUGAAAUUCGUAGAUAUUCGGAAGAACACCAGUGGCGAAGGCGACUGACUGGACAAGUAUUGACGCUGAGGUGCGAAAGCGUGGGGAGCAAACAGGAUUAGAUACCCUAGUAGUCC
rnacentral:rRNA from 1 species